CUUGUUUGUGAUACCCUGAUGCUGGAGAAAACCCCAGAUGACCCAGAACAGAAGAAUGGAUAUAGAAAAUAAUGGUUCAUUUACCCAAUGGAAUACUACUAAGCUAAGAAGCAAAAGGACAUCCUGAGAUUUGCAUGUACAUGGGUCGAACUACUCGGACCAUGAGAAACCAACUUUUGGAGAGAAGACACCAAGCAAUGAACUGUCAGAAAGUUGUUUGAACAGAGUGGAAGCCGAAGACAUAAGGAAGCAUACUAAGUUUACAAGGGAUGACAUCAAUUCAUUAGGCAUUUAAGCUGAUUUCUCUGCAGAGUUGGAUUUGAAUUGGAGAGCAUGCACCUAUGUACCUGUUGCCCCUGGCAGCAGGGGUUCUAAUAAUGUGAGUGGGAGGUCACUUUCUUAGCCUGACAGCAAAAUGAAGAUUUUUGAGCUCCGGAGAUAUGAAAACGUAUGGACCUUUAAAUGACCUGAA